GGGUGCCAUUCUAGAGUCCUCUCGACGGUUUCCGGGAUCAUUUUCUCUGCAGGCUCUGCAUUUAUUGUGUCAGCAAGUAUCUCCUCAAGCGCUGUGCUUCUUGGAGGCUGCUAAUGAGUGUGGGAUUAGGAGCUGGCCCCUGUCCAUCCUCUACUUCCUGCUUUGUGCUUCCUAAUCCAGUGGAACCAACUGCUUGGGGUUGAUUCCUUGUUUGCCUCUCCUCCUGGAUAAACUCCUUGAGGGUCCAUGUCUUGUUAAUCUGGGUGUCCCUAUGCUUAGCACAGAGUCAGGGACAUCGCAGAAGCUCUGUAAGUGUUGUGAACUGAUGGGAAGAAGAGUUAACCGUUAACCCCCAUACAGGAGUGAUUUUUGCACUUCUCUGAACGGUGAAGCUUAAAUGGGUCUUAAACAAUAAGUAGGAAUUGUGAGCAGGAGUGCAGUCAAGUCUUCAGAAACAGAAUGAGCGAGUCUCAGGAGAAGGAACGUGUGAGACUGGCUCUGGGAACGUGGCAGGGGAUGGUACUGGAAAGGCAGGCAGUGCCAGAGGAUUAAGGCCCUGGGCUGCCACACUUAGGGGUUUGAUGUCUCUUCCACUAGGUAAGGGGAACUUUUCCAAUAUUAUGAUUUUGAGCUAUAUGUUUUUUUAACAGUUACUCUGGUGGUGGUUUGCAGAAAAGAUUGAAGGAAUAAGAAUUUGAGGCCGGGAGACCAGUUAGCCUAGGCGAGAAGUGAGGUCUGAAAUGGGAACACAGAGGGAGAGCUUUAGGGUCACAGCCAACGCUGGGAUCCUACAGUGGGUAGAACUGAUGGGGUUUGUGGGCUGCCAUGGGGAGCGGAUGAAGAAAGAGGAAGGGACGAGGGAGUGUGAAUUCAAGAUGACUCAGGCCACUCCCUUAAAGGUGGAAGGGAUGCUAAUAUGGUAUUAACUGCGAUCGGGAACUGAGAUGGGGCAGGGCUGUUUUGCAGAGGAAGGUGGGGGAGAUAAAAAUGAGGGAAAGACCUGUAGACUUUGAGGUCGCUGGAACAUUCUGAUUGAGGUACCAGGAGGCAGCUAGAUUAGCUGGAUUAAGAUUUGGAUAUUAUCAGCCUUUAACAGCAUAAUUAAACCUAAUUCCCGUUAGAAACUGGACUCUGGAGAUUCCUAGUAUAAGGAGCAGAUGGUAGAGCUGGAAGCAGCGAAAGCAGCUGAGAAGCAGAGAGACGUGGAGAGAAGGAGAGCCCUGCAGCCAGCAGAGGCUGAGGAGGGCCACGUGCUGUCGGGAAGACAGGGCUGCUGGCGUGGUCACUGUGCACCCCAAACCGGGGGUUCCAUGGGUAGUCAGGUCAGAAGCCAGAGUGCCAUCAGUGAAUUAGAGUCCAGUGGAGGAGACGCUGAUGAAGGCUUGUCAACAGUGUGGUGAAAACAAUCAUAAAAGGAAGGACACAGUAGAGCACCAGCCCAGAGGACAAGCUGUCCUCCACCAUGGAAAGGGCCUCGUUGGCUGACUGGAUUCCCCUUUUUCAUUAAAGAUGUUCUAUUGAGCACAGGAGGUGGGCAGAGGUGGGUUAGGAGCUUAGGAAGAGGGAAAAAUAGUCGAUACGGGAAUGAGGAAUAAAAGCUUGAGGUACCAUUGAGUCCUGGCUGUGGUAAGGAGAUAGGAGCUUUGUGUCGGAACAGGGUAGUGAUUUGGUGAUGGUCAUUAGCCCCCCAUGCCCUCACAUUGGCAGCUGUAGAUGGCUGGUGCUAUGAGGAAACGGGUACUGUUGAGUAUUUCUUUCACUGAUUCAUUCUUCACAUACUUACUGGGCAUCUGCUACAUGUCAGGCACAGUUUUAGGUGCUCGGAACAUGCUGGUGAACAAGACAACAGUGCCUGCCCUCCUGCUGCAUUUAGUGUAGUUGAAAGACACGUAGAAACAAGUAAAUGUACAGUGUAUCAAACGGGGAGAAGUGCCGGCAUAAGAGUAAAGCUGGAUACAGGAAUGGAGGAGGAGAGGUAGUAAGGUUGUCCAUAAGUGGACACUUGGAUGUGAGGGAGCCAAUGUGCAGAUAACUGAGGAAGAGCCUUUCAGGUAGAGGGAACAGAGGCACAAAGACCCUGAGGUGGGAACACUCUUGGCACGCAUGCUCAGAGGACAGAAGGGAGGCCAGCAUGGCUGGAGCACAGAGCUUGGGCAGCUUGGGGAGGGGCGGUUGGACACAAGACCACCAGAUGCUCUGUGAUUACGUUUGCAUCAACGACAAGUUCAGAAUGAGAAGAAGGGUGAUGUGAGGGCCCCAGAGAUGGCAGAGCUGUGGAGCUGUGUAUAGUGUGCAGCUGAGGACAUCCAGGGAACCUCAGUCUUUGUGCCCUGGCCCUGAGGGUAGAGCUGGUGCUAAGAUCUGUGUGGAGCAUUGUGUGGGGACCCUGGGCCUCAGAUCACCUGUUGAGCGUCCACUUUGAUGUAUGUCUAAACUAUGUGAAUUAGUAGGUGCUGUUUGGUCAGCUCCUCGAAACAGCAGGGAAGUCACAAGAGUCUGUUUUGGGAGUUUGUGGUGAGACAGGAUGGUAAAGGACCAGUUGUGGACUGGGAAUGAGGGAGGAGCUAUAUUUAUGGGGAAAAUAU